UGUGGCUGGGGGUGAAAGGCCAAUCAAACCGGGAGAUAGCUGGUUCUCCCCGAAAGCUAUUUAGGUAGCGCCUCGUGAAUUCAUCUCCGGGGGUAGAGCACUGUUUCGGCAAGGGGGUCAUCCCGACUUACCAACCCGAUGCAAACUGCGAAUACCGGAGAAUGUUAUCACGGGAGACACACGGCGGGUGCUAACGUCCGUCGUGAAGAGGGAAACAACCCAGACCGCCAGCUAAGGUCCCAAAGUCAUGGUUAAGUGGGAAACGAUGUGGGAAGGCCCAGACAGCCAGGAUGUUGGCUUAGAAGCAGCCAUCAUUUAAAGAAAGCGUAAUAGCUCACUGGUCGAGUCGGCCUGCGCGGAAGAUGUAACGGGGCUAAACCAUGCACCGAAGCUGCGGCAGCGACACUAUGUGUUGUUGGGUAGGGGAGCGUUCUGUAAGCCUGUGAAGGUGGCCUGUGAGGGUUGCUGGAGGUAUCAGAAGUGCGAAUGCUGACAUAAGUAACGAUAAAGCGGGUGAAAAGCCCGCUCGCCGGAAGACCAAGGGUUCCUGUCCAACGUUAAUCGGGGCAGGGUGAGUCGACCCCUAAGGCGAGGCCGAAAGGCGUAGUCGAUGGGAAACAGGUUAAUAUUCCUGUACUUGGUGUUACUGCGAAGGGGGGACGGAGAAGGCUAUGUUGGCCGGGCGACGGUUGUCCCGGUUUAAGCGUGUAGGCUGGUUUUCCAGGCAAAUCCGGAAAACCAAGGCUGAGGCGUGAUGACGAGGCACUACGGUGCUGAAGCGACAAAUGCCCUGCUUCCAGGAAAAGCCUCUAAGCAUCAGGUAACAUCAAAUCGUACCCCAAACCGACACAGGUGGUCAGGUAGAGAAUACCAAGGCGCUUGAGAGAACUCGGGUGAAGGAACUAGGCAAAAUGGUGCCGUAACUUCGGGAGAAGGCACGCUGAUAUGUAGGUGAAGCGACUUGCUCGUGGAGCUGAAAUCAGUCGAAGAUACCAGCUGGCUGCAACUGUUUAUUAAAAACACAGCACUGUGCAAACACGAAAGUGGACGUAUACGGUGUGACGCCUGCCCGGUGCCGGAAGGUUAAUUGAUGGGGUUAGCGGUAACGCGAAGCUCUUGAUCGAAGCCCCGGUAAACGGCGGCCGUAACUAUAACGGUCCUAAGGUAGCGAAAUUCCUUGUCGGGU
rnacentral:rRNA from 1 species